UACGGGGGGGGCAAGCGUUGUUCGGAAUUACUGGGCGUAAAGGGCGCGUAGGCGGCCCGUUAAGUCGAACGUGAAAUCCCCAGGCUCAACCUGGGAACUGCGUCCGAUACUGGCGGGCUUGAAUCCGGGAGAGGGAUGCGGAAUUCCAGGUGUAGCGGUGAAAUGCGUAGAUAUCUGGAGGAACACCGGUGGCGAAGGCGGCAUCCUGGACCGGCAUUGACGCUGAGGCGCGAAAGCCAGGGGAGCAAACGGG
rnacentral:rRNA from 1 species